UACGAAGGGUGCAAGCGUUACUCGGAAUUACUGGGCGUAAAGCGUGCGUAGGUGGUUCGUUAAGUCUGUCGUGAAAGCCCCGGGCUCAACCUGGGAAUGGCAAUGGAAACUGGCGGGCUAGAGUGUGGCAGAGGGGGGUGGAAUUCCGCGUGUAGCAGUGAAAUGCGUAGAGAUGCGGAGGAACACCGAUGGCGAAGGCAGCCCCCUGGGCUAGCACUGACGCUCAGGCACGAAAGCGUGGGGAGCAAACAGG
rnacentral:rRNA from 1 species